UGGGGAAUAUUGGACAAUGGGCGAAAGCCUGAUCCAGCCAUGCCGCGUGUGUGAGGAAGGUCUUCGGAUUGUAAAGCACUUUAAGUUGGGAGGAAGGGUUGUAGAUUAAUACUCUGCAAUUUUGACGUUACCGACAGAAUAAGCACCGGCUAACUCUGUGCCAGCAGCCGCGGUAAUACAGAGGGUGCAAGCGUUAAUCGGAAUUACUGGGCGUAAAGCGCGCGUAGGUGGUUAGUUAAGUUGGAUGUGAAAUCCCCGGGUUCAACCUGGGAACUGCAUUCAAAACUGACUGACUAGAGUAUGGUAGAGGGUGGUGGAAUUUCCUGUGUAGCGGUGAAAUGCGUAGAUAUAGGAAGGAACACCAGUGGCGAAGGCGACCACCUGGACUGAUACUGACACUGAGGUGCGAAAGCGUGGGGAGCAAACAGGAUUAGAUACCCCCGUAGUCCCUGAGCGGGCUGGCAAGGCGCAU
rnacentral:rRNA from 1 species